CUAAGUUUGAUGGCGACCGGCGCACGGGUGAGUAACACGUAUCCAACCUGCCGAUGACUCGGGGAUAGCCUUUCGAAAGAAAGAUUAAUACCCGAUGGCAUAGUUCUUCCGCAUGGUAGAACUAUUAAAGAAUUCCGGUCAUCGAUGGGGAUGCGUUCCAUUAGGUUGUUGGCGGGGUAACGGCCCACCAAGCCUUCGAUGGAUAGGGGUUCUGAGAGGAAGGUCCCCCACAUUGGAACUGAGACACGGUCCAAACUCCUACGGGAGGCAGCAUG
rnacentral:rRNA from 1 species